rnacentral:tRNA from 1 species
GGGCUCGUAGCUUAGAUUGGUUGGAGCACCCGGCUGAUAACCGGGAGGUCGAGAGUUCGAAUCUCUCCGAGCCCA